rnacentral:lncRNA from 1 species
GGAGCCUCCAUCCCCCACUUCCUCCUCCUGAAAAGAGGUCGCAGGAACAAGAGCAGCUGGACGGUGGCUGGCACACCCCCCUCCACCCGCCAACGUCUGGGCUGCCUGAGGGCCCUCCCUUCCAAGCACUGGGCACUGGGAAUGGGAGGAGUUGCCUAGGGAGGGCCCUGCCAGGUCUCCCGGUGAGGCAGACACGAAGCUGCAGAGGCCGGUGAACUGAGGACUGGCACCUGCCACCCACCCGGGCUCAGCACAGCAGCUGCAGCCCCGUUUCCUGAAUAGGUGGCCUCCGCCUUUCCUGGCUGAGCACACUCUGAUUCUCGGAAGCCUCUCCUGUUCAUGCCCACCUCCCAUCCAGGGGCACUGAGCCCAGGAGGAAGCCGGCCUCACUCUGGCCCCUUGAGGCCACACACACAGAACCAGGCUGCCCAGGACAGCGCCUCAGCUGUGCCACAAUCCACUUAACUUCUCCAUGCCUCGGAUUCCUUGCCUGUAAAACGGGCUCACAGCACCUCUUCUGCAGGGCUGCCAGGAGUACUGUACGAAUGCAGUCGCAAAGUCUCCCAGUUCAGUCCCCCCAGAAAAACGUCAGCUUUGCAUCCUGGGUUCCUGCAGGGAGCUCUGCUCUCUGGACCCUCAGGACCCAUCUGUGCAGGUGAGAGGGUGUCCCAGGACCCUGGGCUUAUCACCCUCCUCCGGAGUCCACCUGCAGCCCUCAGUCCCAAAGACAGAAUGCCAGUGCCCUCGAGGGCAGGGGAUGCAGGCGGAGGCUCUGAGGCUGCAACAGUCUCCCUCCUAUUGAAGCUAGAACAGCACCCCGAGCCUGCGCCAUAAGUGCCCCCAGAACUUCAGCGCCCACCAUGGCGCACAAGGCCGGUGCCCAGCGCCACCCAAGGCGUGAGGACAGGCAGAGCAGCACUGAGGCCCCGACCCCGGGACGCGCACCGGCAGCGAAGCCGGCGGGCACUCAGGGCCAGCCCCACACCCGCAGGAGCCCCGAACACGGAGACACAGAGACGCACACAGGCAGACUC